GACGAACGCUGGCGGCGUGCUUAACACAUGCAAGUCGAACGGAAAGGCCCUGCUUUUGUGGGGUGCUCGAGUGGCGAACGGGUGAGUAACACGUGAGUAACCUGCCCUUGACUUUGGGAUAACUUCAGGAAACUGGGGCUAAUACCGGAUAGGAGCUCCUGCUGCAUGGUGGGGGUUGGAAAGUUUCGGCGGUUGGGGAUGGACUCGCGGCUUAUCAGCUUGUUUGUGGGGUAGUGGCUUACCAAGGCUUUGACGGGUAGCCGGCCUAAGAGGGUGACCGGCCACAUUGGGACUGAGAUACGGCCCAGACUCCUACGGGAGGCAGCAGUGGGGAAUAUUGCACAAUGGGCGGAAGCCUGAUGCAGCAACGCCGCGUGCGGGAUGACGGCCUUCGGGUUGUAAACCGCUUUCGCCUGUGACGAAGCGUGAGUGACGGUAAUGGGUAAAGAAGCACCGGCUAACUACGUG
rnacentral:rRNA from 1 species